GAUGAACGCUGGCGGCGUGCCUAAUACAUGCAAGUCGAGCGAACGGACGAGAAGCUUGCUUUUCUGAUGUUAGCGGCGGAUGGGUGAGUAACACGUGGAUAACCUACCUAUAAGACUGGGAUAACUUCGGGAAACCGGAGCUAAUACCGGAUAAUAUUUUGAACCGCAUGGUUCAAAAGUGAAAGACGGUCUUGCUGUCACUUAUCGAUGGAUCCGCGCUGCAUUAGCUAGUUGGUAAGGUAACGGCUUACCAAGGCAACGAUGCAUAGCCGACCUGAGAGGGUGAUCGGCCACACUGGAACUGAGACACGGUCCAGACUCCUACGGGAGGCAGCAGUAGGGAAUCUUCCGCAAUGGGCGAAAGCCUGACGGAGCAACGCCGCGUGAGUGAUGAAGGUCUUCGGAUCGUAAAACUCUGUUAUUAGGGAAGAACACAUGUGUAAGUAACUGUGCACAUCUUGACGGUACCUAAUCAGAAAGCCACGGCUAACUACGUG
rnacentral:rRNA from 1 species